ACAACAAUAGAGGAGGAGGAAUCAUCCCCUCUUUGGCAACUCUCAACCUCACUCUAUUUCUCUCUUUUCAGUGCUGCAAUGGCAGCUACUGCUGGCUGCCUUGGCAGCCCACUCUCUCCUACAUUUCUCACAUCUUUGGCUCUACACACUCUCUCUUAACUCUCUCAUUUUGCUCUCUAACAUAUGCCUCUAUUUAUAGGCAUCCAUGGCAGCUCCACUUGUUCUUUGGUCAAUAAUGGUGGCCACCGUCUCCAGCUCAUUCAACAAU
rnacentral:lncRNA from 1 species